rnacentral:rRNA from 1 species
UACGGGAGGCAGCAGUGGGGAAUAUUGCACAAUGGGCGCAAGCCUGAUGCAGCCAUGCCGCGUGUAUGAAGAAGGCCUUCGGGUUGUAAAGUACUUUCAGUCGUGAGGAAGGUGUUAAGGUUAAUAACCUUAGCAAUUGACGUUAGCAACAGAAGAAGCACCGGCUAACUCCGUGCCAGCAGCCGCGGUAAUACGGAGGGUGCGAGCGUUAAUCGGAAUUACUGGGCGUAAAGGGCACGCAGGCGGUUAAUUAAGUUGGAUGUGAAAUCCCCGGGCUUAACCUGGGAAUGGCAUUCAAGACUGGUUAGCUAGAGUCUUGUAGAGGGGGUAGAAUUCCAUGUGUAGCGGUGAAAUGCGUAGAGAUGUGGAGGAAUACCGGUGGCGAAGGCGGCCCCUGGACAAAGGCUGACGCUCAUGUGCGAAAGCGUGGGGAGCGAAACAGGGAUUAGAUACC